AUUGAACGCUGGCGGCAGGCCUAACACAUGCAAGUCGAGCGAGCGGCGGACGGGUGAGUAAUGUCUGGGGAACUGCCCGAUGGAGGGGGAUAACUACUGGAAACGGUAGCUAAUACCGCAUACUAUCGGAUGUACCCAUAUGGGAUUAGCUAGUAGGUGCGGUAAUGGCUCACCUAGGCGACGAUCCCUAGCUGGUCUGAGAGGAUGACCAGCCACACUGGGACUGAGACACGGCCCAGACUCCUACGGGAGGCAGCAGUGGGGAAUAUUGCACAAUGGGCACAAGCCUGAUGCAGCCAUGCCGCGUGUAUGAAGAAGGCCCUAGGGUUGUAAAGCACUUUCAGCGGGGAGGCGUUACCGACAGAAGAAGCACCGGCUAACUCCGUGCCAGCAGCCGCGGUAAUAC
rnacentral:rRNA from 1 species